rnacentral:rRNA from 1 species
UACGUAGGGUGCGAGCGUUAAUCGGAAUUACUGGGCGUAAAGCGUGCGCAGGCGGUUUUGUAAGCCAGGUGUGAAAUCCCCGGGCUCAACCUGGGAAUGGCAUUUGGGACUGCAAGGCUGGAGUGUGGCAGAGGAGACUGGAAUUCCUGGUGUAGCAGUGAAAUGCGUAGAUAUCAGGAGGAAUACCGAUGGCGAAGGCAGGUCUCUGGGCUGACACUGACGCUCAUGCCCGAAAGCGUGGGGAGCAAACAGG